GAUGAACGCUAGCGAUAGGCUUAACACAUGCAAGUCGAGGGGCAGCGAGGGUAGCAAUACCUGUCGGCGACCGGCGCACGGGUGAGUAACGCGUAUGUAACCUGCCCGCAACAGGGGGAUAACCCGGCGAAAGUCGGACUAAUACCGCAUAAAACAGGGGUCCCGCAUGGGAAUAUUUGUUAAAGAUUUAUCGGUUGCGGAUGGGCAUGCGUACCAUUAGGUAGUUGGUGAGGUAACGGCUCACCAAGCCUUCGAUGGUUAGGGGUUCUGAGAGGAAGGUCCCCCACACUGGUACUGAGACACGGACCAGACUCCUACGGGAGGCAGCAGUGAGGAAUAUUGGUCAAUGGGCGAGAGCCUGAACCAGCUAAGUCGCGUGAAGGAUGACUGCCCUAUGGGUUGUAAACUUCUUUUACAAGGGAAUAAAAUGAGAUACGUGUAUUUUAUUGCAUGUACCUUGGGAAUAAGCAUCGGCUAACUCCGUG
rnacentral:rRNA from 1 species